CAUUCUCUUUGUUCAAAGCUUAGUCUGGCUUCACCCAUUAUUUCAAAUCAGUUAAACCUGAAAAUGAGUGAAAACUAAGUGAGUUAUCAGCCGUUAAAAUGUGUAUACACUUUUUGGGAAACCCUCUAUGUAUUGACCUGAGG